GAGGGAAAGUUGCAAAGAACUUUGAAGAGAGAGUUCAAGAGGGCGUGAAACCGCUUGGAAGCAAACAGGUGGACCUGGCGUUAGUUCGCUGGAUUCAGCCUACUCUUGUGUGGUGUGUUGGUGCUCGAUUGAUUUCGACGACUUCUCCGACAUUAACCGCGCUUGAUAGGUGCAUUUCCAGUGGAUGCGCACUAGAGACAGCGAGAGCGCUGCGCGAAGUGAGUGUUGCCGACCGGUGUUCGCAUCGGUGCCCCACGUUUGCGGAGCGCGAGUUGCUCUUGCUGGCCCAUUUUAGCACCCGCCUUUGGCUUGGUACCGAGGUCGCGGGGGGGAACGAAUUGCCUGGUAAUCCUCUCGCAGGACCCAGCGACUCUACUUCCUGCACUCCACGGGAUCCGAGUUGGUGCUAUACUCUGGUGUUCCAGUCAGUCACCCACCUGACCCGUCUUGAAACACGGACCAAGGAGUCUAACAUGUGCGCGAGUUAUUGGGUUGCAAAACCUAAAGGCGUAAUGAACGUAAAGACUGGUUCCGCCAGUUGAUAUGGGAUCCCUGGCUUCGGCCGGGGCGCACCAUAGUCCCGUCUCAUCCGCAUCGUCGGGGAGGCGGAGAUAGAGCGUACACGUUGGGACCCGAAAGAUGGUGAACUAUGCCUGAGCAGGAUGAAGCCAGAGGAAACUCUGGUGGAGGUCCGAAACGGUUCUGACGUGCAAAUCGAUCGUCAGACUUGGGUAUAGGGGCGAAAAAACUAAUCGAACCAUCUAGUAGCUG
rnacentral:rRNA from 1 species